rnacentral:rRNA from 1 species
GAACGCUGGCGGCAGGCUUAACACAUGCAAGUCGAGCGGGGGAAGGUAGCUUGCUACCGGACCUAGCGGCGGACGGGUGAGUAAUGCUUAGGAAUCUGCCUAUUAGUGGGGGACAACAUCUCGAAAGGGAUGCUAAUACCGCAUACGUCCUACGGGAGAAAGCAGGGGAUCUUCGGACCUUGCGCUAAUAGAUGAGCCUAAGUCGGAUUAGCUAGUUGGUGGGGUAAAGGCCUACCAAGGCGACGAUCUGUAGCGGGUCUGAGAGGAUGAUCCGCCACACUGGGACUGAGACACGGCCCAGACUCCUACGGGAGGCAGCAGUGGGGAAUAUUGGACAAUGGGGGGAACCCUGAUCCAGCCAUGCCGCGUGUGUGAAGAAGGCCUUAUGGUUGUAAAGCACUUUAAGCGAGGAGGAGGCUACUUUAGUUAAUACCUAGAGAUAGUGGACGUUACUCGCAGAAUAAGCACCGGCUAACU